GACAGAGGGUGCAAACGUUGUUCGGAAUUACUGGGCGUAAAGCGCGUGUAGGCUGCUUGGAAAGUCAGAUGUGAAAGCCCGGGGCUCAACCUCGGAAUUGCAUCCGAUACUACCAUGCUAGAGUACUGAAGAGGUGGACUAGAAUUCUCGGUGUAGCAGUGAAAUGCGUAGAUAUCGAGAGGAAUACCAACGGCGAAGGCAGGUCACUGGGCAGUUACUGACACUGAGGCAACGAAGGCCAGGGGAGCAAACGGG
rnacentral:rRNA from 1 species